GCUGAUGGCGACCGGCGCACGGGUGAGUAACACGUAUCCAACCUGCCGUCUACUCUUGGCCAGCCUUCUGAAAGGAAGAUUAAUCCAGGAUGGCAUCAUGAGUUCACAUGUCCGCAUGAUUAAAGGUAUUUUCCGGUAGACGAUGGGGAUGCGUUCCAUUAGAUAGUAGGCGGGGUAACGGCCCACCUAGUCAACGAUGGAUAGGGGUUCUGAGAGGAAGGUCCCCCACAUUGGAACUGAGACACGGUCCAAACUCCUACGGGAGGCAGCAGUGAGGAAUAUUGGUCAAUGGGCGAUGGCCUGAACCAGCCAAGUAGCGUGAAGGAUGACUGCCCUAUGGGUUGUAAACUUCUUUUAUAAUGGAAUAAAGUCGGGUAUGCAUACCCGUUUGCAUGUACUUUAUGAAUAAGGAUCGGCUAACUCCGUGCCAGCAGCCGCGGUAAUACGGAGGAUCCGAGCGUUAUCCGGAUUUAUUGGGUUUAAAGGGAGCGUAGAUGGAUGUUUAAGUCAGUUGUGAAAGUUUGCGGCUCAACCGUAAAAUUGCAGUUGAUACUGGAUGUCUUGAGUGCAGUUGAGGCAGGCGGAAUUCGUGGUGUAGCGGUGAAAUGCUUAGAUAUCACGAAGAACUCCGAUUGCGAAGGCAGCCUGCUAAGCUGCAACUG
rnacentral:rRNA from 1 species